rnacentral:ncRNA from 1 species
AGGAGCCGUAUGAGAUGAAAAUUUCAUGUAUGGUUCUACAAUAGGGAUGAGAACAGUGAUGUUCUCAUCUACUAUGAU